GCGCUGGUGGUGUAAGGCGAACAUCGCUGCCCGGAAAGCAGAAGAUGCGGGUUCAAGUCCCGCCUGGCGCA
rfam:Heligmosomoides polygyrus genome assembly, scaffold: HPBE_scaffold0002715